rnacentral:rRNA from 1 species
UACGUAGGGUGCAAGCGUUGUUCGGAUUCACUGGGCGUAAAGGGUGCGUAGGUGGCGCGGUAAGUCGGAUGUGAAAGCUCGGAGCUCAACUCCGAAAUGGCAUUGGAAACUACCUUGCUCGAGGGUUGGAAGGGGGACUGGAAUGCUUGGUGUAGCAGUGAAAUGCGUAGAUAUCAAGCGGAACACCAGUGGCGAAGGCGAGUCGCUGGACAACUCCUGACACUGAGGCACGAAAGCUAGGGGAGCAAACAGG